UGCAGUUUGUAAGCAAAACAUUCAAACUGGGUCCCUACUCCAGUACAACUGUGAAGCCCCCUGCCCCAGACAGCAGCAGCAGUUGUCGGGAGUAAAGCAAAAGAAAACACUCCUAGUUAGGCCCUGGAACAGUGGGCCGAUGCUUAGCCGUCACCGCCAACGGGAUCCUCUUGAACGAGCAGGAGGGCCGUUGUGAUGAGCUGUGAAACAAGCUGCUGUACUGAUGUUUGCAUGCAAAAUUGAGGGAAUGCUUUCUAGAAUUUUGUCCUACAAGGAUUACCGUAGUGGCAGCGGCAGGGUGAUGGCAAAACUUUGUUUUAAGAUGCUGCUGGACGUUGUUCGGACGCCUACAAAAUAUCCGUCUGUACUCUCAUUUGCCCUCCUCGAGCCAAGACUCACUGACAGACCACCCUGUCGUUAGCAGUUUUGGGGAUAACCCACCCACCUGGUGUACGGAAAAAUGAACUGGAAAUGCAAGUUGUGUAACUUCACAACAUCAAAAAGAUCAGAACUGUUGAAGCACAGCAGGCUAAUACAUGGGCAUUUUGGUCGAAUCCACGCCAUACCCUGUCUCUAUGAGGAUUGUCCUUGCACCCUCAGGACAUGGGGUGCAUUAAGGACACAUUUGUCAAGACAUCAUUCCCAGGCAACCAAGCUAGGCAGCA